rnacentral:lncRNA from 1 species
CUACCUGAGUUAAGCUACGUAAAACAUCCUGAGCGAAGAGUACUUCUACCCGGAACUAUAAGCUGGAUCCCCCUAGGCGAAAAAGGUUCUACCUGGGUUAAACUACGUAAAACAUCCUGAGCGAAGAGUACUUCUACCCGGAACUAUGAACUGGAUCCCCCUAGGCGAAAAGGUUCUACCUGGGUUAAGCUACGAAAAUAACCUGAGCGAAGAGUACUUCUACCCGGAACUAUGAGCUGGAUCCCUCUAGGCGAAAUGGUUCUACCUGAGUUAAGCUACAUAAAACAUCCUGAGCGAAGAGUACUUCUACCCGGAACUAUGAGCUGGAUCCCCCUAGGCGAAAAGGUUCUACCUGGGUUAAGCUACGAAAAUAACCUGAGCGAAGAGUACUUCUACCCUGAACUAUGAGCUGGAUCCCUCUAGGCGAAAUGGUUCUACCUGAGUUAAACUGCAUAAAACAUCCUGAGCGAAGAGUGCUUCUACCCAGAACUAUAAGCUGGAUCCCCCUAGGCGAAAAAUGUUCUACCUGGGUUAAACUACGUAAAACAUCCUGAGCGAAGAGUACUUCUACCCGGAACUAUAAGCUGGAUCCCCCUAGGCGAAAAGGUUCUACCUGGGUUAAGCUACGAAAAUAACCUGAGCGAAGAGUACUUCUACCCGGAACUAUGAGCUGGAUCCCUCUAGGCGAAAUGGUUCUACCUGAGUUAAGCUACGUAAAACAUCCUGAGCGAAGAGUACUUCUACCCGGAACUAUGAGCUGGAUCCCCCUAGGCGAAAUGGUUCUACCCGAGUUAAGCUACGUAAAACAUCCUGAGCGAAGAGUACUUCU